GUGGCGAACGGGUGAGUAACACGUGGGCAAUCUGCCCUGCACUCUGGGACAAGCCCUGGAAACGGGGUCUAAUACCGGAUAUGACCUGCCUCUGCAUGGGGGUGGGUGGAAAGCUCCGGCGGUGCAGGAUGGGCCCGCGGCCUAUCAGCUUGUUGGUGGGGUAAUGGCCUACCAAGGCGACGACGGGUAGCCGGCCUGAGAGGGCGACCGGCCACACUGGGACUGAGACACGGCCCAGACUCCUACGGGAGGCAGCAGUGGGGAAUAUUGCACAAUGGGCGCAAGCCUGAUGCAGCGACGCCGCGUGAGGGAUGACGGCCUUCGGGUUGUAAACCUCUUUCAGCAGGGACGAAGCGCAAGUGACGGUACCUGCAGAAGAAGCACCGGCUAACUACGUGCCAGCAGCCGCGGUAAUACGUAGGGUGCGAGCGUUGUCCGGAAUUAUUGGGCGUAAAGAGCUCGUAGGCGGCUUGUCGCGUCGGAUGUGAAAGCCCGGGGCUUAACCCCGGGUCUGCAUUCGAUACGGGCAGG
rnacentral:rRNA from 1 species